rnacentral:rRNA from 1 species
UGGGGAAUUUUGGACAAUGGGGGAAACCCUGAUCCAGCCAUCCCGCGUGUGCGAUGAAGGCCUUCGGGUUGUAAAGCACUUUUGGCAGGAAAGAAACGUCGCGGGUUAAUACCCCGCGGAACUGACGGUACCUGCAGAAUAAGUACCGGCUAACUACGUGCCAGCAGCCGCGGUAAUACGUAGGGUGCAAGCGUUAAUCGGAAUUACUGGGCGUAAAGCGUGCGCAGGCGGUUCGGAAAGAAAGAUGUGAAAUCCCAGAGCUUAACUUUGGAACUGCAUUUUUAACUACCGGGCUAGAGUGUGUCGGAGGGAGGUGGAAUUCCGCGUGUAGCAGUGAAAUGCGUAGAUAUGCGGAGGAACACCGAUGGCGAAGGCAGCCUCCUGGGAUAACACUGACGCUCAUGCACGAAAGCGUGGGGAGCAAACAGGAUUAGAUACCCUGGUAGUCCACGCCCUAAACGAUGUCAACUAGCUGUUGGGGUCUUCGGACCUUGGUAGCGCAGCUAACGCGUGAAGUUGACCGCCUGGGGAGUACGGUCGCAAGAUUAAAACUCAAAUGAAUUGACGGGGUCAUAGCUGUUUCCUG